GACGAACGCUGGCGGCGUGCCUAACACAUGCAAGUCGAACGGGGUAAGUAUUUCGGUAUUUACCUAGUGGCGAACGGGUGAGUAACGCGUGAGCAGCCUGACCUUUUGAGGGGGAUAACAACCGGAAACGGUUGCUAAUACCGCAUAAGACCACGCUACCGCAUGGUAGAGAGGUCAAAGGAGUAAUCCGCAGAAGGAGGGGCUCGCGUCCCAUUAGAUAGUUGGUGAGGUAACGGCCCACCAAGUCAGCGAUGGGUAGCCGAGCUGAGAGGCCUAUCGGCCACACCGGAACUGAGCCACGGUCCAGACUCCUACGGGAGGCAGCAGUGGGGAAUAUUGGGCAAUGGGGGAAACCCUGACCCAGCAACGCCGCGUGAGGGAAGAAGGCUUUCGGGUUGUAAACCUCUGUCGCAGGGGACGAAACAAAUGACGGUACCCUGUGAGGAAGCCCCGGCUAACUACGUGCCAGCCGCCGCGGUAACAC
rnacentral:rRNA from 1 species